AACGAACGCUGGCGGCAGGCUUAACACAUGCAAGUCGAGCGCCCCGCAAGGGGAGCGGCAGACGGGUGAGUAACGCGUGGGAAUCUACCCAUCCCUACGGAACAACUCCGGGAAACUGGAGCUAAUACCGUAUACGCCCUUAGGGGGAAAGAUUUAUCGGGGAUGGAUGAGCCCGCGUUGGAUUAGCUAGUUGGUGGGGUAAUGGCCUACCAAGGCAACGAUCCAUAGCUGGUCUGAGAGGAUGAUCAGCCACACUGGGACUGAGACACGGCCCAGACUCCUACGGGAGGCAGCAGUGGGGAAUAUUGGACAAUGGGCGCAAGCCUGAUCCAGCCAUGCCGCGUGAGUGAUGACGGCCCUAGGGUUGUAAAGCUCUUUCACCGGUGAAGAUAAUGACGGUAACCGGAGAAGAAGCCCCGGCUAACUCCGUGCCAGCAGCCGCGGUAAU
rnacentral:rRNA from 1 species